CCUACGGGUGACAGCAGUGAGGAAUAUUGGUCAAUGGCCGGAAGGCUGAACCAGCCAUGCCGCGUGAAUGUCAGUGCCCUUUGGGCGUUAAACUUCUUUUGUGCGGGAGCAAUACUGGUCACGUGUGGCCAGACGAGAGUACCGUACGAAUAAGCAUCGGCUAACCCCGUGCCAGCAGCCGCGGUAAUACGGGGGAUGCAAGCGUUAUCCGGAUUUAGUGGGUUUAAAGGGGACGGAAGCUGUGAGGUAAGUCAGCGGGGGAAUGCCCCCGCUCAACGGGGUGAAGUGCCAUUGAUACUGGCAGGCUAGAGUGCGGUAGCGGUGGGAGGAAUGUGUGGUGUAGCGGUGAAAUGCAUAGAGAUCACACAGAACACCGAUUGCGAAGGCAGCUCAC
rnacentral:rRNA from 1 species